AGCGUGACUGACUGCUGGCGUGGGAUCGCUCCGCCGGGGGACCUUCGGGGUGCAGUUGCGGGUCUGCUUUCUGGACUCAUCUACGGCUGGGGGAGACUCCCACCCUCCGGGUUGCUGUGACGGUGCCUUGGCUUGCAGGGUGAGGCCCUGCUCCUUCGUCGGCCGUCAUUGGCCACCACGUCUCAGACGGACCUGCUGUUUUGGCUUUUACCGGAAAUUGCACUAUCCUAAAUCACACUUUUAAUGAACUGUUGCAGCUGAUAAGAGCACGGCUCCACAGUUGAAGACUGCCUGGCUCAGGACCAAGGAAGUGUGUUCUUAAAGUAUUGUCUCGUGCACUGUGGCUCUC